rnacentral:misc_RNA from 1 species
GUGAAUUUAGGACUGCCGUCAGGCGUCCAACCCCUCACUUUCUAACUCUGUGCACUAUGUUGGUCUAUUCAAACUGGAACGAGUUCUUAGAAUUCUAUUACAAACUGAAUACGAUCUUUCACACUUUUUUAAACAUCAGUCAAUGAAUGUCAUCAAAUACAAAACAAAAAA